rnacentral:tRNA from 1 species
GGAGGGAUUCCCGAGUGGCCAAAGGGGGCAGACUGUAAAUCUGUUGCGGAACGCUUCGGUGGUUCGAAUCCACCUCCAUCCA